rnacentral:rRNA from 1 species
GACGAACGCUGGCGGCGUGCUUAACACAUGCAAGUCGAGCGGUAAGGCCCUUUCGGGGUACGACGAGCGGCGAACGGGUGGAGUAACACGUGGGUGGACCUGCCCUCCAGCUCUGGGGAGUAAAGACCUCGGGGAAACGUAGGGUCGUAAUAACUGGAUAUGACUCCACGGUGCAUGUCGUGGGGUGGAAAGCCUUGUGCGGCUGAGGAUGGGCCCGCGGCCUAUCAGCUUGUUGGUGGGGUGAUGGCCUACCAAGGCGACGACGGGUAGCCGGCCUGAGAGGGCGACCGGCCACACUGGGACUGAGACACGGCCCAGACUCCUACGGGAGGGCAGCAGUGGGGAAUCUUGCGCAAUGGGCGAAAGCCUGACGCAGCGACGCCGCGUGAGGGAUGACGG